rnacentral:rRNA from 1 species
AUAUUGCACAAUGGGCGGAAGCCUGAUGCAGCGACGCCGCGUGGGGGAUGACGGUCUUCGGAUUGUAAACUCCUUUCAGUAGGGACGAAGCGAGAGUGACGGUACCUGCAGAAGAAGCACCGGCCAACUACGUGCCAGCAGCCGCGGUAAUACGUAGGGUGCAAGCGUUGUCCGGAAUUACUGGGCGUAAAGAGCUCGUAGGCGGUUUGUCACGUCGUCUGUGAAAUCCUCCAGCUCAACUGGGGGCGUGCAGGCGAUACGGGCAGACUUGAGUACUACAGGGGAGACUGGAAUUCCUGGUGUAGCGGUGAAAUGCGCAGAUAUCAGGAGGAACACCGGUGGCGAAGGCGGGUCUCUGGGUAGUAACUGACGCUGAGGAGCGAAAGCAUGGGGAGCGAAC